AGCGGGUCCCAGCUGACGGAAGGUGGGGGAGGAGUGCGAGGGUCUCUGAGACAGGUUGGGAGCCAGCCCCACCUCCAUUUCCAAAGCGGGGGUCCAGGCACAGGAACAGCCAAACGCCCGAACCAGCGGGGUUACCUUUGCCACUUCAUCCAAUCCGAGCAUCGGCUGACAAGUUUAUUUAAUCCCUGAACCUGGAUCCAAGGCAUCUCCCUGUAGAAAACAUCAGACCGGGGCAGAGAUUGACAAAGCAACCCAAAGCAGCAGCUGCCAACGGCCGCUGUGCCCACCUCAUCAGCAGCUAAAGAGUAUAAUUUUAAAAAAAGUCACAGAAGAAUGUGGAGACACUUAGCAAAACGGACUCUCAUAAGAGGUUCCCUAUUUUGUCAGUAAGGAAGUAAACAACCGCUAAAACAACCCUCUAACAACAGAAGACCCUCAUGAGAACACCAGGCAGCAGAAGCUUCUUUAGCAGUAAAAGAUAUCUGGAUAUUCAUAUUUUGUUCCAUGAUCUUCAACAUUAAAUAAAUAAACUUAAUAUUCAAGUCUCCUUCUGCAUUCCUAGAAGAGGAUGUUAUUCAGAUAUCCAAUGCCCUGCAAUACUGUCAGUGCAGCUCAACAAAGUCAAUUCUGUUAGCAUCAAGAAUGCUCCUGACUGAAUGAGGACAAAUCCCAUCUUUAUUAUCAAUAACACUUUAGAUAUGGAAAAGUGAUACUAUUCAGGAAAAUAAGGAGAGCAGAGGUUUGCUGCCAUAAAAAUCCCCAUGCUUGUUACUCUAGCUUUUACCACCCUAAUUUUGCUUCAUUUCCCCUAGCCUUAACUCAGUUACAUUUCUUAAAUUAUUGUUCAGAAUCAUCUGUCCUUUCCACUGUCAUGUAAGCUUCAUGAAAAUAGACUUCACCUUUUGUUCACAGCUGUCUCAGCACCUUUAGCAGUGCCUUAUAGGAGGUGUUCAGUAAAUACCGUUGAAUGAAAAAUGAAUUAAGCAAAGAGGCAGAGCAGGGUGCAGGCUGACUUAAGCUGUGACCUGAGCCAUUUCCCUUAAGUUCUCUUUUUUAUAAUUUCCCUUUUCAAUGGAUAUAUAUCCUCAGACAUGGGGCAAAUUGGCUACAGCAGUUUCUUACUGGCAACAUUGAGGGGAAGAUAGAGGUGCUUCCAGAAUCACUCCCAUAGGAGCAAAAAAGUUUCCUGGAGGUGCCCAGUAGACCUUGACAGGAGCCCUUCCAGUGAAGUGAUUUGGGUUAAACGAAUGGAAAGAGUGAAUGUUAAUAAGAAAAAAAAGCUAAUGGAGAAAACUCUAAUGAUGAGUUUUGCUGAAAAACAAACCAGAAAAAUUUAGCUGGGAGGAGGAUUUGGAGUCAAUAAGGGUGGUGGUAUUUUUCUUCAUUGUGAAAAAAACAGUGCAUUUUUAUACUACUGGAAAGAACAUCAGGUAAUUUUAGAAGGAAAAGCAGAUAAUUUCAGGAGCAAAGUCCUUGAACAGGCAAGAGAGGAUACAAUCCAAUAAAUAAAUGGAAGUGGUAGUCAUCCCUAACAAUAAGAAGAAAGCAGAAUUUAUGGCUACAUAAAUGAAUACGUACCAGAUUUGCUGGUGGGAAGAUGAGCUAGUCUUUUCUGAUUGCUUCUACUUUCCCAGUGAAAUAAAAACCAAGGUCAUCAGCUGAAGUGGGGAAUGGAGGAGAGGAUAUUGGAGACUAGAAGAAGAGAAGAAAUUAUUAAGUUGUUAUGAGAAAGUGUGAAUUUUCUAGAACUGCUGAGCAACACUGAAGUCCUGCUUUUGAAAUUUUGGUCAUAAAUUUAAAGUAUGACUAGUCAGCUAGGUGUGGUAAGCCAUGGAGUAGGCAAAAAAUUGGGUUAAUUUGGACCUAUGUUUUGAGUUUAGUAUGUGUUGAAAGAAACUAAGGAAAUGGUGCAUGUUUGCAAAGGAGAGAGUAUGGUGAUGGACCAUGGACUCUAAGCCAGGAAGAGCAGACGUGAGAAUAUGAAGGGGGUGAUGGGCAGCAUAAAUUAGUGAGAUCAAUAGACUCCAUGUGCCGUCAAAUUAAAGAAUUGUAAGUAUGUUCCAGAGUAAUAAGGCUGGAUAGAGAGGAGAGAAUUAUGUAGCUGGGAUCUAUCAUGCCCGGGCUUCUUUGUAUGAGAAACAGAACACUUGCUACUAAUUUUAAAUAUUUCCAUUUUCAAUUCAAUAACUUAUGUCUGUUAAAUUUUUUAAUGUAAACAUUUAAACACUACUUACACAACUAACAAAUUAUUAAUAAAUCAAAAUGUGUUAAUUUUAUAAAUAAGUUUAUCUUAAACAUUUAGAUGUGGAUUUCAAACACAAAUAUCCUUAAAUAUUAGGGAAAAACAUGAUGUAACAUAUUAAAUUUCUUAAGUGCUUUUACUAUCUUAAACAUAUACACCAAUUAUUUCAAUGAUAAACAUUUA
rnacentral:lncRNA from 1 species